GGCCGCACUGGAGCGUAUACAUGCAAGUCGAACGAACUUCCGUUAAUUGAUUAUGACGUACUUGUACUGAUUGAGAUUUUAACACGAAGUGAGUGGCGAACGGGUGAGUAACACGUGGGUAACCUGCCCAGAAGUAGGGGAUAACACCUGGAAACAGAUGCUAAUACCGUAUAACAGAGAAAACCGCAUGGUUUUCUUUUAAAAGAUGGCUCUGCUAUCACUUCUGGAUGGACCCGCGGCGUAUUAGCUAGUUGGUGAGGUAAAGGCUCACCAAGGCAGUGAUACGUAGCCGACCUGAGAGGGUAAUCGGCCACAUUGGGACUGAGACACGGCCCAGACUCCUACGGGAGGCAGCAGUAGGGAAUCUUCCACAAUGGACGCAAGUCUGAUGGAGCAACGCCGCGUGAGUGAAGAAGGGUUUCGGCUCGUAAAGCUCUGUUGUUAAAGAAGAACGUGGGUAAGAGUAACUGUUUACCCAGUGACGGUAUUUAACCAGAAAGCCACGGCUAACUACGUGCCAGCAGCCGCGGUAAUACGUAGGUGGCAAGCGUUAUCCGGAUUUAUUGGGCGUAAAGCGAGCGCAGGCGGUCUUUUAAGUCUAAUGUGAAAGCCUUCGGCUCAACCGAAGAAGUGCAUUGGAAACUGGGAGACUUGAGUGCAGAAGAGGACAGUGGAACUCCAUGUGUAGCGGUGAAAUGCGUACAUAUAUGGAAGAACACCAGUGGCGAAGGCGGCUGUCUGGCCUGCAACUGACGCUGAGGCUCGAAAGCAUGGGUAGCGAAAAGGAUUAGAUAC
rnacentral:rRNA from 1 species